GGCACCUCUGGCCUCCAAAGGGAAAGUGCUUGGGUUCUCUUAUCGCUCAGUAACAAGCCCUGGGGGCCACCCAAGGGUGCUUCAGAUGAAAGCCAUGGGAAGAAGUCUGAAGUGAGGGCAAGAGGACACAGACGAUGCAUUGGAUGCCAAAACACAUAAGCACCAAAGAAAAACAACGUCUGCCUUUUCCCAGGUAAGGAAACUGAAGCUAAAAUCAUGGGAGUAUCUCGCCCACAGUCAAAUCAAGGUUGGAGCUGAAAUCGAAACCCCGGGCACCCCAACCUUGCUUGUCUACCUGUUCUUCUGAAGGUCAGGUUCCUACCUUUCCCUUCUGUGGUUUUUAUUCCCCAAUUCUAACACAUUCUUUAUUUAUAGGAAAUACUUAUUAGCAUCAUUUGAGCUCUUCCUAAUAGACUCCCUAUUUCAGUAUAAUCGACUUAGAGCCUUAUUAGCAGUGAAGAGGUCUAACCCAGAAGGGCCUGGAGGUAAAUCCUCAAGAGACCUGAUGGUUCAAGACUGCGGCUUCCCAGCUGCUGUGCAAGUGGGGUGACUGAUGAGCUUCAGAGGGACCACACAGGAGGUGACAGCUAUUCUGGUUGACUGGAGAUGCCGAGGAAUGAGAAGACAGGGAAGACUUUCAGUAAAUACGUAAUAGGAAGCUGAGUGACUGGAAAUGGAAAGUGGUGGUACAUGAAUACUCUUGCUUACACAUGGGAAGUCAAUGAUAUCUAUCUCAAGGAUUUAUAUUUAUGAAAUAAAUAAAACUAGAAUGCUGACUUAAACCCAAGGAAAGUUUCUUCUGAUGAGAAAUCCUCAAGAGACGAAUUCGAUUGAGUGCUUGUCUCUUUUUGUAGAGGAUCGACUUGGUUGCUACGCUAAAAACUGUUCUUCCAGACCCGGGAGCGAAGAAUUCCAUUGGCUUUUCCCACAUCACGUUCAUGAACCUGACUAUGCUUCGGCA